CUGCAAGACACUUUUUCAGAGGGGUGCAUUCUGGUUUACAAGAAGCAGAGACCAGGACGGAAGGAGACCAGCUUGAUGCUACUGAGAAUGUGGGAGGUGUGUCUCAGCAAGCGUUUUCUUUCUGCAUCAGUGGGAAUAGUGCUCAUCCCUUCUGAAUAGAAUCUCGGUGGAAAAUAACUGAGCAAAUGGCGGGCACGUCAGCACGGAGCAACACAGAGGCAGUUGUGUGAGAGAGGCACCAAUGUCCAUUUGUAUCUGGGCCUGUGUAUCCACAAUACUGAGCAGAGAGAGCAAACAGCCACCUGAAGCCAGCAAACAAAUAUGAAGUACAGUCCAGAUGUGUCAGGUGGCGAGGAAAGGAAAGAACCCGUCAGGCAAUGCACGGACUUCUGAAAACAGAAGACAACAGAAACAGCUUGCUGCUGGCUUAAUAAAACACACAGAUUGAGGCAGCUGUCUUUUGUGUUGACCUUGAGCUGAGAGGUUCCUUGGAAGGCCUGGAUUUGGGACAUUCACCCACUUUGGCACUUGGGGAGACAUGAGGUGAUGAAGCAGUUU